rnacentral:rRNA from 1 species
GCGGAGGAAAAGAAACUAACAAGGAUUCCCCUAGUAACGGCGAGUGAAGCGGGAACAGCUCAAAUUUUAANUCUGGCUGCCUUCGCAGUCCGAGUUGUAAUUUGAAGGCGUCUGUCGCUUGUGAGACGAUGGCACAAGUCCUCUGGAACGUGGCAUCGUAGAGGGUGAGAAUCCCGUCUCUGGUCGUUGUCUUGCAGGCACACGGCAGGCGAUCCGAAGAGUCGAGUUGUUUGGGAUUGCAGCUCCAAAUGGGUGGUAAACUCCAUCUAAGGCUAAAUAUUGGCGAGAGACCGAUAGCGAACAAGUACCGUGAGGGAAAGAUGAAAAGAACUUUGAAAAGAGAGUAAAACAGUACGUGAAAUUGUUGAAAGGGAAACGCUUGAAGUCAGUCGUGCCGGCGGGGAUUCAGCGAACUUCGCGGAGUGAGCGUAUUUCCUCGCAUGGCAGGUCAGCGUCAGUUUUGCGCGUCGUGAAAGGGCUCGGGUAAGGUGACUCUCUUCGGGGAGUGUUAUAGGCCUGAGCAGAUGCGAUGCGCGGGACUGAGGAUUGCAGCGGACACCCUUCGGGGCGCGGCGACCGAUCCCUGCUCUGUCACCUUCGUCCGAUAGCGUGCUAACGGUCGGGGGAGCGGCGGUUGCACCGGGUUGGCAAGCCGGCGGCUYSCCUAAGGAUGCUGGCGUAAUGGCUUUAAACGACCCGUCUUG